rnacentral:tRNA from 1 species
GUUUCAGUAGCUCAGCUGGAUAGAGCAACGCCCUUCUAAGGCGUCGGUCGGGGGUUCGAAUCCCUCCUGGGACG